GUGACUCACUUUUUAUUGCAAAUGCCAGGAGCAGGCUUAUUUAUUAACCUAGCUAGCUGAGUACAGGGAUAAAAGGGAAAAGGAACUUUGGAAACGGUAGCUUGCAUGCCACAGCAAAAUGUAAAGAAAAAUUAAACCAGCAAUGGGGGCUAACAUGAUGGCCUGUUGGCAGCUUCCUCCAGCGGGAGACUCACUGCCUACAUUUCCAAUUGGACAAACUUCAUUUAACGUAUUGGAAGAGUUAUGGAGCUCAAGCACAGAAGCAGAACAGUUCUCCUUUCUUCCUGGAACACUCUAGCAUCAGCUGCAGAAUACUGCCAAGACACAUACAUACAACAGCACAAGAUCCAUAAACAAUACAAAGAGGAGAAAAUCAGAAUGUGUGCGCCCAGUUUUAAAGGCUAUUCGUUUUGUGAAUGCCAACUAACAGUGUCAUAGUCAAAGCGACCUGCU